rnacentral:sRNA from 1 species
CCUUUUAUUGAAAUAAUCCCCUGAUAAUAACAAUAAAUCUGGUAAGGCACUUUCAAAAAAUAGCCAAACCACACAUCAUAAAGAAAACCACCACAAUCAAAAUCGGUAACUAUCAGCUUUCAGGGGGUCUCAGGUUAUCAUGACGAUCGGGGUAAAGGAUGGACUACUAUUGCGGUCUGAAUUGAGGACGUUUUGAUAAAUUAUUUUGAUAACCGUUCGAAUACUAAUAAUAAAUAUCCUCCGGCAUAGCCGGAGGUUUUUCUGAUG